UCGCAAGCGCCGUGCUUCCAGUGAUCGCCUUCUA
rnacentral:antisense_RNA from 1 species